GACAGAGGGUGCAAACGUUGCUCGGAAUCACUGGGCGUAAAGGGCGCGUAGGCGGGAAUGUAAGUCGGGCGUGAAAUCCCUAGGCUCAACCUAGGAACUGCACUCGAAACUGCGUUUCUUGAGUAUCGGAGAGGAAAGCGGAAUACCUGGUGUAGAGGUGAAAUUCGUAGAUAUCAGGUGGAACACCAGUGGCGAAGGCGGCUUUCUGGACGAUAACUGACGCUGAGACGCGAAAGCGUGGGGAGCAAACAGG
rnacentral:rRNA from 1 species